rnacentral:rRNA from 1 species
UACGUAGGGUGCGAGCGUUGCCCGGAUUUAUUGGGCGUAAAGGGCGCGUAGGCGGCUCGGCACGUCCGUUGUGAAAUCGCCCGGCUCAACUGGGCGGGGUCAGCGGAUACGGUCGAGCUUGAGCAAGCUAGGGGGCAAUGGAAUUCCCGGUGUAGUGGUGGAAUGCGUAGAUAUCGGGAGGAACACCGGUGGCGAAGGCGGAUCUCUGGGCCUUGCCUGACGCUGAGGCGCGAAAGCUAGGGGAGCGAACAGG